GUUCUUAUAGUUGAAUUACAACGGUGGUUUUUCAAGUCAUUGAUCCUGGUGAGAAUCCUGGUGAGAAUU
rnacentral:tRNA from 1 species